UAGCAGAGGAAACCCAGGUUGUGGCCAUGU
rnacentral:piRNA from 1 species